CAAAGUCCUCAUGAAGUGGGAAGGGACCUUGCACAGAUGGAAAGGAGCUUCCAGAGUCUCUUCAGAUCAAAAGGUCCCUGCUACCCUGAUGACUGUGUCGUCACGCCCAACUGAACUACCGCUGCCUAACUUGGAAUUUGUUCCACAUAACAGUCUUAGCACCAUCUUCCUUGAGACUCCUGCGCCAUGAGAGCGAAGUGGCAGAAGAGAAUGUGCAGGCUGAAGCGCAAGAGAAGAAAGAUGAGGCAGAGGUCCAAGUAAGCCAGCGGUGCACCCACGACACCUGCAGGAGCAGAAGUGAGGGAUGCUGAGGGCCGGGAUAAGCUAUCCGACUGUGUGCUGCCAUCGGUAAUGAGUCUCAGUAGACCUGGAACGUCACCUCGCCGCGAUUGCCUAGAGAAAUGACCGCCUUUCUUACAACCAAAACAGUCCCGCUGGCCCUCUGCCCUGGACCCCCGGCACUCUGUACUAGCUCUGUUCUCUUGUGGCCAAGUGUAGCUUGUGUACAAUAAACCUUCUUGCAGUCAGCUGAAGAAUCAAAAAAAAAAAAAAAAAAAAAAAAA